rnacentral:rRNA from 1 species
UAACCGGCGAUUUCCGAAUGGGGAAACCCAGUGUGAUUCGUCACACUAUCAUUAACUGAAUCCAUAGGUUAAUGAGGCGAACCGGGGGAACUGAAACAUCUAAGUACCCCGAGGAAAAGAAAUCAACCGAGAUUCCCCCAGUAGCGGCGAGCGAACGGGGAGGAGCCCAGAGCCUGAAUCAGUGUGUGUGUUAGUGGAAGCGUCUGGAAAGGCGCGCGAUACAGGGUGACAGCCCCGUACACAAAAAUGCACAUACUGUGAGCUCGAUGAGUAGGGCGGGACACGUGGUAUCCUGUCUGAAUAUGGGGGGACCAUCCUCCAAGGCUAAAUACUCCUGACUGACCGAUAGUGAACCAGUACCGUGAGGGAAAGGCGAAAAGAACCCCGGCGAGGGGAGUGAAAAAGAACCUGAAACCGUGUACGUACAAGCAGUGGGAGCACAGAGCAAUCUGUGUGACUGCGUACCUUUUGUAUAAUGGGUCAGCGACUUAUAUUCUGUAGCAAGGUUAACCGAAUAGGGGAGCCGAAGGGAAACCGAGUCUUAACUGGGCGUUAAGUUGCAGGGUAUAGACCCGAAACCCGGUGAUCUAGCCAUGGGCAGGUUGAAGGUUGGGUAACACUAACUGGAGGACCGAACCGACUAAUGUUGAAAAAUUAGCGGAUGACUUGUGGCUGGGGGUGAAAGGCCAAUCAAACCGGGAGAUAGCUGGUUCUCCCCGAAAGCUAUUUAGGUAGCGCCUCGUGAAUUCAUCUCCGGGGGUAGAGCACUGUUUCGGCAAGGGGGUCAUCCCGACUUACCAACCCGAUGCAAACUGCGAAUACCGGAGAAUGUUAUCACGGGAGACACACGGCGGGUGCUAACGUCCGUCGUGAAGAGGGAAACAACCCAGACCGCCAGCUAAGGUCCCAAAGUCAUGGUUAAGUGGGAAACGAUGUGGGAAGGCCCAGACAGCCAGGAUGUUGGCUUAGAAGCAGCCAUCAUUUAAAGAAAGCGUAAUAGCUCACUGGUCGAGUCGGCCUGCGCGGAAGAUGUAACGGGGCUAAACCAUGCACCGAAGCUGCGGCAGCGACGCUGAUGCGUUGUUGGGUAGGGGAGCGUUCUGUAAGCCUGUGAAGGUGUGCUGUGAGGCAUGCUGGAGGUAUCAGAAGUGCGAAUGCUGACAUAAGUAACGAUAAAGCGGGUGAAAAGCCCGCUCGCCGGAAGACCAAGGGUUCCUGUCCAACGUUAAUCGGGGCAGGGUGAGUCGACCCCUAAGGCGAGGCCGAAAGGCGUAGUCGAUGGGAAACAGGUUAAUAUUCCUGUACUUGGUGUUACUGCGAAGGGGGGACGGAGAAGGCUAUGUUGGCCGGGCGACGGUUGUCCCGGUUUAAGCGUGUAGGCUGGUUUUCCAGGCAAAUCCGGAAAAUCAAGGCUGAGGCGUGAUGACGAGGCACUACGGUGCUGAAGCAACAAAUGCCCUGCUUCCAGGAAAAGCCUCUAAGCAUCAGGUAACAUCAAAUCGUACCCCAAACCGACACAGGUGGUCAGGUAGAGAAUACCAAGGCGCUUGAGAGAACUCGGGUGAAGGAACUAGGCAAAAUGGUGCCGUAACUUCGGGAGAAGGCACGCUGAUAUGUAGGUGAAGUCCCUCGCGGAUGGAGCUGAAAUCAGUCGAAGAUACCAGCUGGCUGCAACUGUUUAUUAAAAACACAGCACUGUGCAAACACGAAAGUGGACGUAUACGGUGUGACGCCUGCCCGGUGCCGGAAGGUUAAUUGAUGGGGUCAGCGCAAGCGAAGCUCUUGAUCGAAGCCCCGGUAAACGGCGGCCGUAACUAUAACGGUCCUAAGGUAGCGAAAUUCCUUGUCGGGUAAGUUCCGACCUGCACGAAUGGCGUAAUGAUGGCCAGGCUGUCUCCACCCGAGACUCAGUGAAAUUGAACUCGCUGUGAAGAUGCAGUGUACCCGCGGCAAGACGGAAAGACCCCGUGAACCUUUACUAUAGCUUGACACUGAACAUUGAGCCUUGAUGUGUAGGAUAGGUGGGAGGCUUUGAAGUGUGGACGCCAGUCUGCAUGGAGCCGACCUUGAAAUACCACCCUUUAAUGUUUGAUGUUCUAACGUUGACCCGUGAUCCGGGUUGCGGACAGUGUCUGGUGGGUAGUUUGACUGGGGCGGUCUCCUCCUAAAGAGUAACGGAGGAGCACGAAGGUUGGCUAAUCCUGGUCGGACAUCAGGAGGUUAGUGCAAUGGCAUAAGCCAGCUUGACUGCGAGCGUGACGGCGCGAGCAGGUGCGAAAGCAGGUCAUAGUGAUCCGGUGGUUCUGAAUGGAAGGGCCAUCGCUCAACGGAUAAAAGGUACUCCGGGGAUAACAGGCUGAUACCGCCCAAGAGUUCAUAUCGACGGCGGUGUUUGGCACCUCGAUGUCGGCUCAUCACAUCCUGGGGCUGAAGUAGGUCCCAAGGGUAUGGCUGUUCGCCAUUUAAAGUGGUACGCGAGCUGGGUUUAGAACGUCGUGAGACAGUUCGGUCCCUAUCUGCCGUGGGCGCUGGAGAACUGAGGGGGGCUGCUCCUAGUACGAGAGGACCGGAGUGGACGCAUCACUGGUGUUCGGGUUGUCAUGCCAAUGGCACUGCCCGGUAGCUAAAUGCGGAAGAGAUAAGUGCUGAAAGCAUCUAAGCACGAAACUUGCCCCGAGAUGAGUUCUCCCUGACCCUUUAAGGGUCCUGAAGGAACGUUGAAGACGACGACGUUGAUAGGCCGGGUGUGUAAGCGCAGCGAUGCGUUGAGCUAACCGGUACUAAUGAACCGUGAGGCUUAACCUUACAACGCCGAAGGUGUUU